UACGUAGGGGGCUAGCGUUGUCCGGAAUUAUUGGGCGUAAAGAGCUCGUAGGCGGUUUGUCGCGUCUGCUGUGAAAACCGGAGGCUCAACCUCCAGCCUGCAGUGGGUACGGGCAGACUAGAGUGCGGUAGGGGGAGAUUGGAAUUCCUGGUGUAGCGGUGGAAUGCGCAGAUAUCUGGAGGAACACCGGUGGCGAAGGCGCCCACCUGGCCUGCUACUGACGCUGAAGCUCGAAAGCUAGGGGAGCAAACGGG
rnacentral:rRNA from 1 species